rnacentral:rRNA from 1 species
GAUGAACGCUGGCGGCGUGCCUAAUACAUGCAAGUCGAGCGAACGGACGAGAAGCUUGCUUCUCUGAUGUUAGCGGCGGACGGGUGAGUAACACGUGGAUAACCUACCUAUAAGACUGGGAUAACUUCGGGAAACCGGAGCUAAUACCGGAUAAUAUUUUGAACCGCAUGGUUCAAAAGUGAAAGACGGUCUUGCUGUCACUUAUAGAUGGAUCCGCGCUGCAUUAGCUAGUUGGUAAGGUAACGGCUUACCAAGGCAACGAUGCAUAGCCGACCUGAGAGGGUGAUCGGCCACACUGGAACUUGGACACGGUCCAGACUCCUACGGGAGGCAGCAGUAGGGAAUCUUCCGCAAUGGGCGAAAGCCUGACGGAGCAACGCCGCGUGAGUGAUGAAGGUCUUCGGAUCGUAAAACUCUGUUAUUAGGGAAGAACAUAUGUGUAAGUAACUGUGCACAUCGUGACGGUACCUAAUCAGAAAGCCACGGCUAACUACGUG